AUGGCAGCGGUCUUAUUUCGACUCGUCCCGAGGGAUUUCAAGCUCAUUCCUCGCGAAGCCCGGCAUCACGUGUCCAAAUGGGGCCCAACUUGCAGCAUUCGAGACGAAGCCUGCAUGUCCCACGCGCUGCAAGCUGUGUUCCACGUCGUCCGGUGGCAUCACAGGUGCGAACCCGUCUGCCUGCAUUGCGUCCCCUGCACACCAGCCCAUGGCUUCAGGAGGUCGUGGCAUUCAAGCUCUCAGACAUCGGCGAGGGUAUCAGCGAAGUGACAAUCAAGGAAUGGUAUGUCAAGCUUGGUGACACGGUGAACCAGUUCGACAGCAUCUGUGAAGUGCAGAGUGACAAGGCAUCGGUUACCAUAACGAGCCGCUAUGACGGCCGAAUCAAGAAGCUGUACCACGAAGUCGAUGACAUCUGCAAGGUCGGGUCCCCGCUUGUCGACAUCGAGGUUGACGAUGACUCGCUCAGUUCCUCAGAUGAUGAUGAAGUCCAGGACCAGGACAUUAAGUCUCAGCGCAGUAAUGAACAGUCUUCGGAGCCCCUGGCCAGCGAGCCUGGUGGCGGACUAGGGGACAAGGUGCUCACAACACCUGCAGUUCGUCGGAUAGCCAUGGAAAACAAUAUACGCCUCUCUGAUGUCACUGGCACUGGCAAGGAUGGACGUAUCCUGAAGGAAGAUGUCCUGCGCUACAUCGAGCUCAAGCAGGCCCCAAGACCAUCAGCACCAGCCAAGGCACCUACACCUGCAGCUGCACCAAAGCAGGUGGCACCAACACUGGCUAAAGCUCCAGUUCAUCAGAAGCCAGUCGCAGUCAAGACAUUGCAUGCUGUUGCAGACCGUGUUGAGCAGGUGAAGGGCAUCCGCAAAGCCAUGGCUAAGACUAUGGCACAGUCUCUGGCAAUCCCGCACUUUGGCUACUGCGAUGAGAUCAACGUCACACGGCUUAUUGAGCUGCGGCCGAUCCUCAAGCCACUUGCUGACCAGAUCGGUGUUCGGCUAUCCUACAUGCCAUUCUUUAUGAAGGCGCUGUCCAUAGCACUGUUUGACUACCCCAUCCUCAACUCUUAUGUGGAUGAGAAGGUUGAGAAUAUCACAAUUAAGGGUUGCCAUAAUGUUGGCAUCGCUAUGGACACUCCACACGGUCUGGUCGUGCCCGUUGUCAAGAACAUUGAGUCCAAGAACAUCAUGGAAAUUGCUGCUGAUCUCAACCGGCUCCAGAAUUUGGGCCUGGCAGGGCAGCUACAACAGGACGACCUCUCCGGUGCCACCAUCACAUUGUCCAACAUUGGCGUGGCAAGUCUCAACUUUUGUCACCUUGUUUACUAUGCUGCAUGCAUCUCUUUCAACUUACCAUUCUCUUGUUUAAGCAGGUGUUAUAGGUGGUUCGGAAUUGAAGCUAGAAAUCCAAAGUUAUGCACACUCGCUAUCAGUACCAGCUUCACUACAUUUAUAGCUGAAGUGUGCCUCGAAAUAGUGGCAGUCCAUGUACUGUAAAUUGCAUUGCUCCGUGUACUACUGUUACUGUCUCCAAAAGCCUUGUUCACAUAUUUAGGGAAAGUAAUGCAUAUGUAUUUUGAAGCCUGUUUUUGCAGGCACUGAUGUGGAAGCUGGUGUUAGUAUGACGAUUCCUAAUCAAUAGACAAGCCUCAGACACACUUGGAAUGGUAUUCUAUUAAAGGGUCCCCGAAACGGUUUGGACAAAUUUUGUAGACGCAUAGGAUACAGCUACAGUAAAACAUUCACGCCACAAUUUAAUUGAAGCGUCUCAUAUUAAGAGAGCUACAGACAAUAUUGAGUUACCCGCCUCCCUAGCCAUGCUUUUUCUCCUGAACUCGUUUGCAGAGCGAUCAGGGCUAACCUCUGCCUAUGCUCGCUCUGCGUCAUGAUGUGACCUCGUGACAUCUACUUCUGGUGUGUCUUGGAGGCAGCACGCGAAGCCCCUUCAACCUCUCUGCUGGCCACCUGGCCGUCAAUCCCCAGCAAGAGCUAUCCAAGCCGCAUGCAUUGCAAGCGUUCUAUCACUAUGCCGAGCGUGUCUAGGGUUCCAGUAAAUGCUAGCAAGCUGGGUGUUUUGACAGACGAGCAAAGGCGUAAAUUAAAGCCCCCUCCAUACUACUAGUACUGCUGUGAUGAAGGGGCUUUGGCAUAAGCGUGAGCGAGAAGCCUGCACUGUGUAGCCACCUGUUGGUACAGAGCUUCACCAGCCAAACAAAGAGCUAAUAUUGUAGUAACUAAGAGUAAAACAUUUUAAACAUUUCAAAAGAAAAUGUACAAAUGAAAAUUUGCACAAACGACAAAGUAAAACACACUUGGCUAAUGCUAUAUGUUAGCUCUGUGUUUGAUUGGGCUCUGUGCCACAAGGUGGCUGCAACCUACAGGCCACUCACAUUUGUGCUUCUGCCUACUGGCGAAAUGCGCAGUCCGCCUGUGUUUACCAAAAUACCGGACACGCUAAAACUGCCUGCUGUGGUAAGUAAUCCUCUCGUAUGAAGUGAUGGCCGCAAAUGCAUAGAUCCUGGCGCCGAUUGGAUAUCGACAGCCUGCUGCGCUGUAGACACUCAGCCGAGGGACACGAUUUCGCAACUUGGAAAUGUCGCCAAUCACUAAGUUUGCAGCGCACAAUGCAACAAGGGCGAUUCAUGGUUUUCGUGAAACAAAACUUCUAGACCAACACUGAAUGCGCAGCUCACCUAAACACAGUACACAUUCUAACACAAGCAGACAACACUUUCUGUGUGCCGGAAGUGCUUGAGUGUAGUGAUAAAUUGGCAUUGUGUAUUGUUUUACUGUUACUUUUUCAUCUAUAUAUAUAUAUAUAUAUAUAUAUACAAACAGGUUAACCAACAUCCUAACUAUUACGAACAUGUGUUCACCAUGAAGUUGGAAACAUUACUGAUUACGCAAACUGGGUAGCCAAUCGGAUAGUUCACCCUACUGAUGUCAAGUGCAACAAACUACAUAGAUUGUAAUGGGGCAGCUGAUAACUCAGGGGAGCAGCGCUGCUGCGAUUGGUUGCGAUGCACAUAUUUAAAACCUGAUAAUAAAUUGCGCGCAUUACGUGGAGCACCUGAAUGCAUCACUUAAUGAUCAGAAAGACCUACCUUAAUGACUCAGUACAUUUGUGCAUAAUUGUCAAAAUCGUUUCAGGGUCCCCUUAAGCCACAUGGUUCAUUUGGUUCAAGACGGGCGAGUUUAACAGCUGAAUUAAAGACGAGACAUAAGGGCAUCUUUGUGUUGUCUCCCUUCUGCUCAACAAUUGAAGCAUAAAGUCUAGAGCCAGUAACUAAUAAAAUAUCAUAUGCCAUCUUGAGUUUAUAGUUUAUAAGUUAGUAUGCAUAUAUCCAGCAUUCUGUGUCCGCUAUUGCUAAUACAAAAUAAAAGAGAGGUUUACAGAAAGUUAUUAACAGUGGCAAAAUAAGGAAUGUCACUGAAGCCAUUUCUUGCUCUACUUCAGUGACAUUCCUCGUUCUAUCGCUGUUAAUUACCCUAUUCGUAGUAGUUUGUUGCCAUAAAAAUUAUCCAUUUGUCUCUCCUAUCCUGAGGCAUAUUUGUGAUUGUUGCUAGAAUGCAUAUGUAAGUUGCAGUGAGCCAUUUUCAUGGGCACAAAAAUCACACGAGGCACAUUCUGGCCUGACGUGCACAAGGAAGUUGACGCAUGUACUGUUUUUACCCAAUCCUAACUGCACCCAAUAUUCAUGGGCUUAAAGUAAGAAAAGAAAAAUUUACCUGAAUGUAACAUGCCACCGAUUCAUAAGAGAAAAAUAUAGCAUGCUUUCCAUGUUUGCAAUAAGAAAAAGAAAACUAGACACGCAGAAGUUACCUUCAUAAAUGGUGCCUUUCUUUCUUUCUUUUUUUUUUAUUAAUAAGCUUGUCCACUGAAAAUGGUGCACUGUCAUCACCAUUUGCACUUCACUGGCCACAGAUACAAACCACAUAGUGUAGCGGCAUUCUCAAGUGAUGACUUUUAGUUUUACAAAUGCUACUGUCCCUUUUGCAAGGCUCUGCAUCGGACUUAUUGAAGUAUGCAUCCUACGGCAUUACUGGCACUGUGUGCAGAUAGCGAGCGUAAUGCACCACCAGAAACGCUGCCUGCCGAUUAUGCCAAUGCAUCCGGUGCUGACUGACAUAAAAUUUCGCGAAAGUGAUUGUAUCUCCAAAAGUUAUUGGCUGAGAAUACCACUCUACAACAAAGUCGAGAAAAAAAUGAGUCAAGAGCAACGUUCACAAUAGCGUGGUCUGUCACCAUUUUGUGAUGGUAAUAACACUGUACUUGACAAUAGGUUGCUGCCAACACUGAAAACAUGGUUUUGGCUUUGUAUCCAAUUAUAAUGCGCAAUCAAUUUUCGGCCCUGUUUCUCAGCAAAAAGGUGCAUAUUGAAUUUAGGUAAAUACGGUACUCAAGCAGUGAUGGAAAAAUUCACACACAUUGCCAUGACUGAUUUGGCAUCAGCCGGUAUUGCCUGGCUUUCUGUUAUUACUCUCUCCUGAAUGUCAAUCAUUGAUUGCUAUGGCAAGACUGAAGUUACCAGAAGCUGUUUCUUCACAGAAAAACAAUGUUUUCUGAAGAUAUCGUUGUAAAAGAAACUGAGUGUCAUUCUUUUUAUCCACUACAUCAAGGGCACCGUAGCAGGGCUCAUUCUCAUAGGAAUAUCGUGUGCUGAUUUAACAAUCAUUUUGCACCUACAGCAGUGGCACGCUUCACAUUCAUAAACACUCUUGUCAUUUACCCCGAGUGUGCUUGACAAAGCAUGUGAUUGUUUGUAAAUGCUAAGUACCCCUGCCGUCCAAAUGUUAGCUUAUAGUGUGGGGUCUCCAAGCAUGCUCUUGGGAUACAGGAACUAGUGCAAAUAAUCAAAACGGCAUUUAUUGUGCUUUUUAUACUGCAAUGCCAGUUAACUGAAUUACUGCUGGUGGAACGUGUCGAUGGGCAGCGAGGAAUCGAGAAAGUCUGACUCACCUUUUGAGGAUAUUGAGUGAAUAUGUUCGCCCCAUGCCGGACACCAACCCUUGAUCAUUUGCAUGUAGUCACACAAACAAUGGUGCAUUGGAGUGAUCGUGUUCAUCCAUUCCAGUGCCUCGUUCUGAACGCUCUCUCUUCCAGGACAGUCCCACGAAGCAUGUCGGCAGGCACGCAUAACAUCAGCGUGCGCUGCUGACCUCAAGCCAAAGAGGAAGAGGCUACUUCCUUUUGUGCCCGAGCAAGCCCGCCGUUAGGGGGUGUUGGCAGCACAACACUUGCACCAUAUCUCGUACUAUUCUGCAACUACACCGACCGACAGCAGCACACAGCUAUGCUAGCAAGCCACAUUACAGGACACACAAGAGCCAUGCGGGAAAAACAUCAAAGGAUGCACGAGAAUCGAGCGUCCCCACAUACUCCUAUCCUUAAGUUACUAUAUAUUCCGGCGAAACAUGGCAUGCAGUCUAACACCAUGUCUUCACAACCAAGAGGUAUUACGUCUGCCAGUAGCCGUGCCAAGCAAAUGUCCACGCACUCUUGUCCAUAGCAUGUGCACCAACAGUGUCUCCAGGGCACUCUGCCAGUGUCCACUGCUCGCAGCAGCAACUCUGCAGACUGGACAGCACAACUCUAAGCCAGGACUCUGGAAACGGCAACGUGGUAGUCGGCACAGACGCGGUUCCUGCCAAGAAAGUUGCAGCAGCAGCUGGUCACUGCUGGCUUCUGUCCCAGCUGCCGAGGGUUCCAAGCCACCAGAGGCAGCCAUUGCGCCGAACCUGCCACAUGCAUCUCCACUGCCUGCGGUGUCUCAAUUGCAGUCCAGGGCAGCAGGCGGCAGUGCAGACAAUGUGCAGAUGGCAGCAAGCCAGGGAUGACUCCACUCAAGCUGUAUGCACUCAAUGCACUUGACAAACACUGAAGUAGUGCAAGGGAGAGCAAUUCUGCAUGCACAUCGCUGCGUGGCAAGAUGUUCAAUUCAACUUGCAAAAUAUCAGGCGGCUCCUCUGGUGCUAAGUUCACAUGAACAAAGCUGGCUUUCUUGAGUCAAAUGAGGUAAGCAAAGUGCAACUCCUCAUCGCCAAGGUGCCCCAGGUUGUGUACCUCCAUGUGAAAAACCUUGGGCCUAAUGAGUCACUACUCGGACAACAGCUCUAUGAUGUGGUCCUACCCUGCUCACUGCACCUGGUGCCAAGCUGCAAUAACAGACAGCCUGUAGCGGUACCCAUAGCCAACAGCGCCCAGUUCCCUGAGUGAAAGAGACAGAAGAAGCUGCAUACAUAAGAAAACGUGGACUACUCACUAAGCUUUUGUACUCACUCACUUCAGGCUUGCCAACCCUCUGAGGGUGCUAGGCCUCACUCUUCCAGGAUGCAGACCAUAUGACCCUUAUACAACGAAUAUCUUCCAAGAACUUCGAAGAGGGCUUAGCAUGUCAACAAGUUUAAACGUGCCGCAGCACCUAUCGCCUCACUCUCAAGAAAACAUGCCGCCAACAGUAGCAAUAAAAAUCCACCCUAGGCCUACGCCUCUGUUUAAACAAGGGUUGCUUAAAACCGAGCAACACUGCCAAAACUACCAUCCGAUGCCCCAAAAGCUCCAUGUUCGGCAGCCAUUGUGGGGUCGCAGCCAUACUCUUGCAACAAAGAAACAACAAGACUGUAGUAAGAACAAUUAGAAGGGCAUUUAUUGUGCCUCUUACAUAGCAAUCUUACCCAGCCGAAUUAGUGCCAAUAAAUCAUGCUGAUGAGUGCUGGCAAAUCAAGGAAAUCUGGCUCACUGCACUAGGAUAUCGAGUGAAUAUGUUUACCCCCAUGCUGGACACCAACGGCUAAUCGUUUGUGUCUACGGUCACACAAGCGGUGACUUGUUAAAACGACCCUGUUCAUCUGUCUCAUUGCAUCGCUUCAAAAACUUUUGCGAGGCAGUUCCGCAAAGCGUGCCGACUGGUGCACGAGACAUCUGUGCACACCGCCGACCCCAAAUCAAAAGAAGGAGAAGGUACCCCCUGCCGUUUGGUGGUGUUAGCAGUGCAACACUCACGCCAUUUCUCGAACUACACCGACUGCCGGCAGCACACAGCUAUAUGGGGAAGCCAGAUUACAGGAGACGCAAGAGUCAUGCAAGGAAAACAUCAGGGAUGCAUACCAACCGAACAUCCCCAGAAUAACUACGUAUAAAGAAAUGCUUUGUCCUCCUUUUUGCUAUGACGAAUUGCAAGCAAAUUCAAGGUCACCAGCUUAUAAGUGCCAAAAGUAGACAAAUAUUUUGUUGCUAAUUUUAUGAUCUGGGUUGACAGUUGUUCAUAAGUCCGUGCAGCUUCGUGAGCUGCUUUUACUUCAGCUCAUGGCACUUGCCACAUGCCUGUUUGCAGUGCCACAAAAUGCAAGUUUGUCUUCAUUACCCUUUCCAGGUUGGUGGGACUUACGCCAAGCCUGUCAUUGCUAGACCAAUGGUGUGCAUUGGAGCGAUUGGAACAAUUCAGAAGCUGCCACGAUUUGAUGCUGAUGACAAUGUAAUCAAGGCACACAUCAUGCAAGUCAGUUGGUCUGCCGAUCACAGGGUCAUCGAUGGUGCAACCAUGUCGCGCUUUUCAAACUUGUGGAAGAUGUACCUGGAGACGCCUGCAAUGAUGUUGGUUCACCUCAAAUAGACCUCAGUUAUUGUGCAAGUGUACAGUCCGUGACCGUUCAAAAUGUCAAGGAACAGUUCUGGACUGGGUGGCGUUACUGCUACGUGUUGUGUGCUAUCUCCUAAGGAGCAUUUGUGGAUCACGUUUACUGUUGGACAUGAGUCGCACUCCAUUAUCCAAUGAAGAAUGGCCAGCUACUCACAAACAGUACUUCUUGUAAUGCCUCCUCCUCUGCAAAGUUCAGGCUGGAGAAAACCAGGGCACCUCAUCGUCUGCUGCAGUUGGACGGGAGCGUGCACUUUGCGAAUGUAAUUUGCCAACUUUCUGGGUCACUGACUAGCUGGUGUCAACUGCUGUCGAGAUCAUGUUACGCGCUAAUCAACAUGUAAAAAAAGUCUCACGAGAUGUGUACUGUUGUUUGCCAUCACCUGCGGUUGUUAGUAAAGUGGGCAGCAUUCAUCAGGAGUCAAGUCGUGCCGAGUGAAUGAUGCAAAUAAUUCAAUGCAAUAUGCUUUCUUAAAUGUGCAUGUCAAGUUGAACAUAAUUUGUCAUUUCCUAGUGCUGUCGGCUUUGUUAAAGUCUUGAAGUACAAAAAAUUUGAUAAAUAGGACUUUAUCCUGCCGAGUUUUGUGCACGUUACAAAAAGUAGCACAUCUUUUUAAUAGGCAAUUUAAUAAGCAAUCUGGCAAUUCUCUUGCUGCGAAUUGGUGUAAUUGCUGAUAACUGGUUUUGUCACCUUUUUUGAGUUGUAAAUCUUGUAUGCUGUGGUGUAAAGAAGCAUACAAGUUUAUUAUAACAUGUUUAAAUUCAUGUUUUUGAUGCAGCAGGCAAUUUAUAGAGGUACUGUUUAACAUUACUGUGUGUCUUUUUGUGAUGCCAACUUUCCACUUUGACAUGACAUGUGAUAGAUGCUGAGCCCUGGUGAAAUGGAGCUUAAGAAGUUGUUAGAUAAGGUUGUGCACGUAUUUGUACACCUAAUCAACAUCUUGUAGCUUUGUCUUAAUCUGUAUGUUCCUCCAUUUGACGGCAUGAUUGAAACACUAGCAGGCACUUGUGGCAUACCUUUAAGGGAAGAUUUCGAUUUUACAUUGUUAUUUAAAUUUAUAUUAAGUUCAUAAAUAUGUUGUGUGGCAUACGCGUAUUAGAGAUUAUGUCAGUGUUUGAAUUGCUGCCAAGUAUUGUGAGGCAUAUUGCAUUUAGAGCCUAUGUUCACCAAGUGGUACAAAAGACGAGCCCUUGAUUAUCUCUGCUGUAAAGGCAAGGUGCAUGUCUAUCAUCACUGGUUUUAUUUUUAUGCUGCACAUGCACUGAAACCAUUUUUAUAAGUAUAACGCCUAAGCACGCUCCAUCAAAUGCCUGUUGGGAUAUAAGCAUUCAGUCAACAAAAACUCUAGAUCUCGAAGUCGCACUGACUGAACAUAUAAAACAGAAAUGAAUAUCAGCGUAAGGAACAUAAUGAGUGCAAAUGACCAUUAAGCGGGCACAACAGGCUGUUACAUAGGACACAAGGACUAACCUUAGUUGUAAAAGCAGUCAGAGAUUUCUUGUGAUAAUUGUAUUUGCUCUUGUACAGAGCUUCUGUGUAUGGGUGUGUGUGUGUAUCUUCUUCCCCACUUUUGUCAACCUGCAUUUGCUUUUCUACUAUGUUGAAGCAUUGGCUUCGCUGGAAUAGCUCUUCGGUUUUUGUCUCAUCCAAACUAUGUUGAUUAGAUGUAGCGCAUAGCGAUAAUGUUGUCAUACAAUGCAGUGAUGAUGAUGCCACCACUGGCAUGGCCAGCAGCCUUGGUUCAAAUGAAAAUUAUGAUAAGUAAAUGUCAUAAUAGCAGCAUACAAUAUGGUUCUUUAUGUCAGUCUCCUACUGGCUUACCACUCACCUCAGCAUGUCUAAAAGCUUUUCCUUUUAAGGUACGAAGUACUGUUCAUGGUCACGCACUAGGCCUAUUCAUAAUGGCCAUGAUCUCUCAAGAGGUUUCCUAACAUGACACAUUUCUGCUCAACAAGGUGGUUGUCUGGGCCUCGAAACCAGGGCCAUGCUCAGAAGUGGAUAUGCCUUACAAACUCACCAGCAGUAAAGUAAUUCAAUAAUAACUUAAAGGGGCCCUGACGAACUGUUUAUCGAAGUUGAGAAAUGCAUUUGAAGUUAAACUGGACUUCUUUCAAAAUACUUCGCCGCAAAAAAAUAAUUACUUCAGUGUGUUGAGUAGGAGUAGAGUUAUUGGCAAUCAAAGGUCAUGUAUGAUCCCAUUCACAAUGCUUCACAUCAUGUUCACGGCCUUCUUGAAUGCCUUGCACUGCAAAGGCUACGGCAGAGCGGGGCAUGCCCAGAACACUCCGCCUACAGAACGGCACCGUGGCACACAGUUAAAAUUUGAAUUUGGAUGUUCACUUAGACACCACUACUUCCGAUUCUGGCAGCUACGGCUCACCAAACUUUAGCCAGACACGGUUGUGCUCGGCAAGCCACAGUGUGCUCAGCCAAUAGACUUGUCGCAGCACCUCACAGUGGCCACAACGUUUACGCUACGUAGUAGACUGCAGCUUCAUGCAACUGUAGGGCAUAUGUGCAGCGUUUAUGUACUUCCAAUUUGCACAGUUUGAAGUGCUAUCACUAGCUCAAUAUGAAGCGAAGUCUGCCAUGGCAUCUAAGAAAGGGAGGUUUACAAAGAAUUUGCUGGCGCGCUAUGAUGUCUCAAAAGUGAAGCCGAACCACCGCAGUUUUACCAUACGCAUGAAAUAACGCUAGUGAAUAGCAGCGAAUAUACGAAAUGCUCUUUCCACUCCAUGCUAUUUAGGACAAUUAAUUUUGCUGUGCAGGUAUUGUUCAACGUCUUUCUUUCUGUCAUUAGUUUGAGAAAAAAGCCUAAGCGUCUCGUCAAAUUUUAUAGCCCAUCAUGACAACAAUGCACAGCUAAAGGCAACAUUUUAGCCAGAAACCACAUACUCUUAUUUUCUAAUUAGCCUAACAUUUACAAUUACUGACCAAAAGGAAGUGAGUUGUGAGCAGAUUUCAGCUGUUGUGGCCCUCUUUCAAAUUAGAAGUAUAGGCAGACUCUGGCUUCACCUGUGCUGGUUAAAAAAAAAAAAGCUACAGGGGCUCCCCCUCCAGCAAUGUUUUUCAGCCUCCUUAAUCUAAGAGUGUACAGGAGUGAGCAUGAAUUGUCAAGCAUGCAUGUGGUCUGGCUAAGUUUCACGUGGUUCAAGGCUAGUUGAGUCUUUGAAACUAGUCAAAAUUAGCGAGACCCAACAGCUACGACACUGAUAAGGAGGGUGGCCAGAGUUUAAUUCCUGCGCAGGCAGCCACAGCAGAGCCUGAGCAGACGAUAGUCAUCUUUUCCCGGAAGCAUGUAAUUAUUAUCGAAAUUCGAAAGCAGGUUUUCACAUACAUCAGCCUGUUUGUUGAACUGAGUCAAUAAAUAUACACAGUUAACAGUAGGAAGAAACACACUGAUCUAAACACCCUUCUUGAUUGAUGUCAGCUAUUGGCUAAUAGCAGCUACGUGUGUGGCAAUCUGCUAUAUUACGAAAUAAGGUGUCCAGAAAAUAGUGAAGAGCAGGCUUCUGUUCAAAAAAGUGACUGCGCGCUCCACUUGUGAGCCCCACGUGCAUGCUGCAUGCAACUGCAAAAUUUGGCGGAGAUGUUCACAGCAGCGGAUGCAUCCAUGAACUGUGUCUUUUCAACAAGCCUGAGGGAAGGUUCAGGACCCCUUCAAUCGAUGAUUGCUAAUUAGUCAGUUAUGCAUUCCAAUUUUUUGUGCAAAUAAUGUUCACCUCUUCAAGCAAUCCAGUUAGCGGAUUAGGAUUAUGCUACCUGCCACAGGCAAUUUUUAAGAAUUCGGGUAUAAUUCGUAUGAAGGUUCCCACUUUUACUAGGAAGCCUACAUAUGCGAGCGUGUGCAGGCUUGUUAAUGUUUACCAGAGUCACAGUAUAUGCUCCCUACGGGAGCACAGUUGCACAAAGGUCCGCCAUAUGGCACGCAAAACAAACCAAGUUCUUGAGGCAGGACAGCACGUCAUGUUCACAGGAUCUAAGCUCGUCGCAAUAUGAACAAUCUUGGUCUAACGCAUUAUCUGGGACGAACUAGGACCACUUAAUGCAUCAGCAUUAAAGCGCUCGUGCAGAUGGAAACCAGGCAGCGUCCGCCGGGUACUUUGUGGUGUGGGAGAGGAGCAGGAAAGUGUGUGUGACAUCACAAGUGGAGAGAAGGAACCAAAAUGGGAAAGGGUGUGUGAUGAUGGAGAGGAAAACAUGUAAUCACACCUUGGGAUAUAAGUGUGAUGUCGCAAUGAAUACAGGUGGCGUGUGACAUCCCACUUCGGUGCUCACAGCUAGACUCCCCGGAGAAAGGAGGGAAUCUGGUUGUGGCAAACUUGGCAGAUUGUCUGUGGCAUUAGGCAAGUUCACACAUGUUUUGUGAAGGUACGUCUUUGAGUACAGUUUAAAAUCUAUGCAGUUGCAUGAACGAGCAGUGUGGAAAGUCACGCCGAUGAAGGCCGCCGAAGGAAUGUCGAGGCAACGCAAUGGCGAAGAUAUGCCAAAUCAGAAAAAAGCCCAUAAGGCACAUUUGCCUGCAGCAGCUGGAGCAAAGUGCCGAAAGCAUGCUACACAGGAGGAAUGCCACAUCAGUUAGCAGGUGAGCCUGAAAGGCGGUCUAAACGUCACGUGGACCCUGCUAUGCUUCAGGCAAAAGUUGAGGCGAAAUGGGCUAAACGUCACGCAGAUGCUGAACAAACUAGCAUAUAUUAGCUAUGGUAGUUAGAUUUCUUCCUGUUGCAUGUGCUGAGACAGAAUGUACAGCGGAAUUUUUCGGUGCACACAGCUUGGUGGCGCCAUCUGUCCAAACACGUGACGAAACCGUGUUUGAUGUUAUUUCUCUCCUUACUUUCCACAGCUUGGUUUCCUUCCUUUCUUACUUUCUACGUCUCCUGUGACGUUGACAAAUGCCUGCCCAAGUCCAAAGGGAUCAGGACCACUCAUUACUUACUUACCAGACGCGCUAAACGAGCUCACAUUACGAAAGAAAAGAAAUAUACCAAGCAAUUUUUGCACUAAAGAAAUUUCAGAAACAAUCUGCAUGUUGGGCAGCAAGGAAAUUGCCCAACUGUGGCGAUUUGAUUGUGCUGCCAUCGCCAGCUUAGAGCUUCCUAGCUAAUACUAAAAGGAGUACUGACACAAAAAUUAUAACUCGACAUAGCCGGUAGAUUACAUUGCUGUGAGCUCACAGGCAUCAUCUAUGAAGUAUCAUUAGCAAAUGUAACUUAGAAUGCAUUAUAUUUUAAUUUUCAUGUUCAUGCGAAUGACAAAUCUGAAAGUGCAGCACCUAUUGAUGUAGUCGUCAGCAUCGGCCCUAUUUCUAAACAAUGUUACAUCAUGAGUUCCAGCUAUUGAUUUUGGUGACAUGAGACGUCAUUGGCUUGUUUCAUCGUGCGACCAAGAUGGCCAAGAUGUUUCAGCACUGUUUACGUUAUGGUGGCUAGAAGUAGAGGUGGAGCCAACACCCAUAUGUUCGCGGCAAAAGCGCGCUCCUUCAAUUCAUGCCGAAACCACAGUGGCCGUGGUGGCGCUGCGAUCAGAAUUGCGAUGUCUCUCCUAGCCCCUCCGCCUCUUUCUCCCGCUAUCUGUGCAUGAGCACAUGUGAUUGUCAUCUUCUCGGUUCGACUUGCGCGCAUGUGAUUUUCGCUGUGUUUUCUUUGUGGUGAAAGAUUACUCAUUAGCACGUAGGCUUGAGUUUUGUGCGCUGUUCCAGCCAAAUAGAUCCUUGCGUAAAGAAAUCGAAGUGAACGCACUGCUUUGCACCUCAUUGCAGGCCAGGUUACGUAUCGUCAAGGAAGACGGGAAGCGUAUCACUUUGUUUUCUGUGCCGAAGGACCCCAAAUGUUUUAAAACGUGGCGGCGGGCUGUCCCCCGGGCUUACAAAUUUCUCGAUGAGAAAUCAGCCCUCUGUGAGCUUCACUUCCAUGAACAAUACAUUGUGUAGCACUUCAUGCAUGUGGUCAACGGCGAAACAAUCGAGAUUCCCGUGAUCGACCCAUGCUUACAAGCGACGUAGUGCCAACAGUUUACCCAAAUUCUCCAUCGCACCUCUCCAAGAAAGCAGCCCUCACCACUGCUGUUGACAGGGGAUGACUUUUAUAUCCAUUAGAUCAGCUGAAUGCACUGGUGACAUCACUGGAAAACACUUUCACCCACUGCUUCAUUGUGAAGCUAGUCAGAAGCGAAAGCUUUACGGAUCUGGUAUCUUUUGUCCGGCUACGAAGUUGAGCCUUGUUGGCUGCCCUGAACACAAAACAGCACUUACGAAUAGAAUCAUAAAGUUCUAUGUGCUCGCAAGGCUCCAUUUCUAUGUCAAGUCUCAGAACGCGAAACGAGAUGAAACGUGGGAGUAAAUAAAGAUGUGAAAACUGCGUCGAGUGCUCUGAAUUGUGCCUUGAGAACCUUGCUACAAACCUUUAUUUUAUUCAGUGACAUUUAGUUUCAGUUAUGUGCAGUUUCGCUGUGAUUUGUGUUGAGAAGAAGCACUAUUUCCUGAAUACAAUGUGCACUAAAUGUUGUUUCGGCAACCUGGA